CACUAACAACUCACACCUUCGCUUUCUCCUUCUCUUUAGGCUUCUCCAACAAACUGUCUGAGAGGAAGAAAUUGGGGCCCUCACAGCGUGAGGCCAGGAUGAUGUGGUGGUCAUGCUCCUCUGGUUUUCUGUUGUUAGCUUUUUUCAGAUGUUCCCAGUCUGGAGGAAAGCUGUCUUAAGCUGGUUCAGCAGUAGGAGGUGUGCCAGGGACUUACAAAGCAAAAUCGGCUCCUCAGCCCCACGUGGAAGUCUGAGUAACUGCAGUUAAGGAGGUGAUACACGGACCAGAAUGGAUUUCAGCAGAAUGCAAACGAUGAGAGCCUCAAGCAGCUGCAACAGCAGAAUGGUGAAAGGCGACAUAUGCUGAUGAUGCUCUUUCCCAGUCACAGCACUGUAGAAAAGAGGAUGCAGUUGUCAAAGUUCAACCAACCAAUAAAUGACCAAAAUUUCCACUGUGUGACAAGAAACAAGUACCAGCUUACCCAACCUAUUGGCAUGUGCUGCUUUUUCUUUCUCAAAAGAGCUCUGAGCUCUGCUUUCCAGUACAAGUGUGGUACAGGUUCUUAGGAAACUACUAUCAUAGGGAACUGCUGAAAAACAUCUUCUGAGAUGUGCAUGCCAGCUUGAAAUGAGGGCAUCUUUCCCAGUAUGGAGAUUUUUUUCUUUGUCCAGCAAGACUGUAAAGAGGAGGCAGCUGGCGCUCCUGCUCCAGGAGAUGGGCCAGCCUGUGUCUGGGCAAUCUAGACUGAAGCUGCUCCUACAAAUGUCACUUCAGCAUUCCCCAAAUAGCAGCUAGAAAAUUAUUCAAGAGAAUUAAAAAUAGCAAGAAAUAAAAAGGUGAGAUUGAAAGAGGAGCAAGACCUUCCUGAGAGCAGGUGGCCCAGGCAUUGUGUGGAGUCCCCAGCGAGCACCAGGUGGAGCACAGCACUGCACCAGCUUUCCGG
ensembl:lncRNA